AGUUAUCCACUUUAAUUUUUAUCCUACCGACUCACUCGUUUUUUUCUGUUUUCUUUUAUACGCUUCUUAAUUUUUUUUUUGAAUUACCUUUCUCUCAUUUUUUUUUUCCUUAUAAUCUUACUCUUCUAUCUGUAUGUAUUGCAUAUCGUCGGCUCCUUGUGCCUCUUUUACUCGUCGGUCGCGACUCUGUGACUAACGCUACUUUUUACAAGCAAACCCUCCACGUCUCGACCAUUGCCAGGGGCUGUUUAAGACUCACACGCUCAGCCACACCUUUUAAAACUCACUCUACUUUGCUCACUAACUCGUCUACCAGCCCUGCACAAGGGCACGGGAUUGUAACGCGUCUCAUUGGAAUUGCCUAAUGCUGUGACACUCGGGACACGAGAAACAUAAGGAUCUGCUAGUCUUGUGUGUUCGAUUCAAUUUUAUGUAACGUACCCUAUCAGUUAUAUAUUUAUUAUUCCGAUACAAUCUGAGUGUUAGUUCGUGCAAUGGAUUUAUAUAUUGUCAGUAUUAGAACGUAGCCGUGUCCCAUUGAUCUAUCUCUCGGUCUCGUACCAGAUCAGCUCCGGAUGUCUCUCUCGAGAGACCCAUGUCAUUAUCCCGGUUGUAAAAAAAGUAUCAGCGCGCACAGAAUUCCGUGCCUCUCAACCUUGGCCGCACAUACUAUUCUCGGAGCAUAACAAACUGGGAAAGAUCCAGCCUCGCGUUAGAGUCGCGUACGAAGUGACCUCGUGUUCGGCUUUUCUUUGUCUUCGGCAGAGUCCCCGCAUAUCUUUGGACCUUUGAGUGUAUGCCGUGGCGUUUCUAUUUCGACUUGGUCUGGCUAACGGAAGUAAAACUUGCCGGCCUCCUCCCCGCGGAAUCCCUUGCGAUACCGGGAAUACCAAAGAGCGUCGUACUUAGCAGGAAACAUAAAUAAUAGCUAGUACGACGUCGCGUGACGUCAUUCCCCCCUACGACUCGUAUUACGUACUGCCGUGUUACGUAACCUCAAAAAUUAGUACUCGGUGGCUAGGUGGGUUGGAAUGGAAAAAAAAA